UACGUAGGGUGCAAGCGUUAAUCGGAAUUACUGGGCGUAAAGCGUGCGCAGGCGGUGAUGUAAGACAGAUGUGAAAUCCCCGGGCUCAACCUGGGAACUGCAUUUGUAACUGCAUCGCUGGAGUGCGGCAGAGGGGGAUGGAAUUCCGCGUGUAGCAGUGAAAUGCGUAGAUAUGCGGAGGAACACCGAUGGCGAAGGCAAUCCCCUGGGCCUGCACUGACGCUCAUGCACGAAAGCGUGGGGAGCAAACAGG
rnacentral:rRNA from 1 species